rnacentral:rRNA from 1 species
GAGUUUGAUCCUGGCUCAGGAUGAACGCUGGCGGCGUGCCUAACACAUGCAAGUCGAACGAAGCACUGAGAGUUUGAGAUUUCGGUCAAGAACUUUCUUUGACUUAGUGGCGGACGGGUGAGUAAUGCGUGAGCAACCUGCCUUUCAGAGGGGGACAACAGUUGGAAACGACUGCUAAUACCGCAUGAUAUAUUCGGAUGGCAUCAUCUGAAUAUCAAAGAUUUAUCGCUGAAAGAUGGGCUCACGUCUGAUUAGUUAGUUGGUGAGGUAACGGCUCACCAAGACUGCGAUCAGUAGCCGGACUGAGAGGUUGAACGGCCACAUUGGGACUGAGAUACGGCCCAGACUCCUACGGGAGGCAGCAGUGGGGAAUAUUGGGCAAUGGGCGAAAGCCUGACCCAGCAACGCCGCGUGAAGGAAGAAGGUCUUCGGAUUGUAAACUUCUUUUAUCAGGGACGAAGUAAGUGACGGUACCUGAUGAAUAAGCCACGGCUAACUACGUGCCAGCAGCCGCGGUAAUAC